CAGCGCAGCGUCGCCGCCACGCCGGACUACUACGGCGCCAGCCCGUACAGCGCGCGCGGCCGCACGCCGCGGCCGGUCGCCGCCGGCAUUGCUUGAUCGCCAUAGCCAUGCAUGCAGGAUCGAGAGAAAGCCUUUCCUUUAGUCUGCACGAAGUUGUAAUGGUUGUUGCUUUGUACGUGUCAUCAGUCCAAAACCCUAAAAAUCAUUCUGGUAUAUGCUCUGCCAUGUUGCUAAUCAAAAGAGAUUAUCUUUUUGCUGUGCUUAACCGAUGAGAUUUGCUCCGAUCCAACAAAAAGUACCUCGAGUACUGGUACCUCGAGAGAUACCAAAUCGUUUUCC
rnacentral:lncRNA from 1 species